CGGGUGGUGGUCAAUGGAAGUAAGUCCAGCUGGCGACUCAUUACAAGUGGUGUCCCCCAGGGGUUGGUGCUGGGGCCCAUCCUGUUUAAUAUCUUUGUUGAUGACCUAGAUGAAGGGAUUGAGCAUACCCUGAGUAAGUUUGCAGAUGACACCAAGUUGGGAAGUAGUGUCAAUCUGCCUGAGGGUAGGGAGGCCCUUCAGAGGGAUCUAGAUAAGCUGGAUCACUGGGCUGAGGUGAAUGGGAUGAGGUUUAACAAGGCCAAGUGUCGGGUCCUGCACUCUGGCCACAAUAACCCCUUGCAGCACUAUAGGCUUGGGGAUGAGUGGUUGGAUGACUGUGAAGAGGAAAGGGACUUGGGGGUGUUGGUUGAUGCUCGGCUGAACAUGAGCCGACAGUGUGCCCAAGUGGCCAAGAGGACCAAUGGCAUCCUGGCCUGUAUUAGAAAUAGUGUGACCAGCAGGAGCAGGGGGGUAAUCGUCCCCCUGUACUCGGCACUAGUGGUUGGUUUUGGGCCCCUGUAGUGGAAUUCCAGAGUCACAGCCUGAACCAAUGGGUGGGCUAUGUGAGUGUGUGAGUGGCUGGAAUGGGGGGUGGUGGUCUGGAGCCACCCCUUCUGUCUCUGCAAUACUUCCUGCGCAGUCUGAGUCUGCGCGGGUCCCUCUCUUUGCCCCCGCCCUUCUCUCCGGCGGCGCGAUGGUACAAAUGGGGGAGCGACACAUUCCUCAGCUCGUCUCUCUCUGCACGCUGUUACCAGGAGGGGUGAGUCAAUUCCUUUUGAUAUCUUUUCCUUGUGUGCCUAUUUCUCAAAUAAAGGCUCUGUCAUUGCCUUCAUUUGUUCUACAGCCCCUCAGUACAAGAAAGACAUUGAGGCCCUGGAAUGUGUCCAGAGAAGGGCAUCAAAACUGGUGAAGGGUCUGGAGUACAAGUCUUAUGAGGAGUGGCUGAGGGAGCUGCGAUUGUUUAGUUUGGAGAAGAGGAGGCUCACGGGAGACCUCAUUGCACGUUACAACUUCCUGAAGGGAGGUUGUGAUGAGGAAGGGUUUGGCCUCUUCUCCCAGGCAAAUAACAGGACCCGAGGAAGUGGCCAGAAGUUGUACCAGAGGAGGUUUAGGUUAGACAUUAGGAGAAACUUUUUCUCUCAGAGGUUGGUCAGGCACUGGAAUGGCUGCCCAGGGAGGUGCUGGAGUCGCCGUCCCUGGCAGUGUUCAAGAGGUAUCUGGAUGAGUAGCUAUGAGAUAUGGUUUAGUAGCUUGUGGUACCAAUGGGAACGGGAAGGCGGUUGGACUAGAUGAUCUUGCAGGUCGUUUCCAACCUUAUGAUUCUAUGAUUCUAUGAAGGCAACAACAUUGAAUGGCGGUUUCACCUGCCCUGUAAUCCAAUUGGAGAAGGCCUAAUAGAAAGAUAGAACGGGAUCCUGAAGGCUGCUCUGAAGGCAGAUUCACAGUCUUUGCAGGGGUGGACCAAGAGACUUUAUGAAACCCUGCGAGACUUGAAUUAGAGACUAAGAGAUGGCAGACCCAGUGCUUUAAGAAUGUUGCAGACAACUUGGGCUUCCCUGCUUAGGAUACAAAUUACAGGCAAGGACACCUCGCUCAAGCCACAAGUUGGCACCAUGAAUAAUCUUCUGCUCACUGCCCCUGUGGACUUAGAGCCUGGGAAGCACAAGGUAAAAUGGCCUUGGAAGGUGCAAGCAGGACCAAAAUUAUGUGGUCUCCUUGCAGCUUGAGGAAGAUUGUUAGAGGUUGGGGGAUCAGUAAACCCUCCAAUAAUCGGUUCAUGGCCAGCAGAGGUAGUAGUUGACAUCCCUGUUUUCAUUGAAAAGGAGACAUUAAUCAUGUCCACGUGGCAAAUUAGAAACCCGCCUUUGGUACCUGAUAUAGUGAUUCAGCCACAGAUAUCAGGCCAAAGGGUGUGGUAUCGAAGACCAGGAUGUGCCCCAAUACAGGCAGAGGUGAAGAAAGGGUUCAGUAAGAAUGGGUCUGCAGAAACUAAGAGUGAAAGAGAAUUAGAGAUAGUUUACAGAAGCAGAUAUGCAGAGGCUGCUAGAAGAAUGGGUCAUUGCUGUGGAGACCAGCUUCAAGGCAGGUAAGACUGCACUGGACAAGGGACCUAAAGCAAAAAGGCUGACCAAAAAGCUCUUUUUAGGGCUUUUUUGAAGCUAGCAAAAGCACUAUACCGGUGCUGGGGGGCUGGCAACUUGUGGGCGGGCUGCUGAGCCAGCAGGGGCAGAGCGGGCACUGCCCACUCUUAUCUCACGAGCUCGACCUUGACCUUUUGCUGUGCAAUUAGAAGCAUCUUCGGGAGGGUGGAAGCUAGCUUAACACACUAGGUGAGAAAAGAGUGUUACCUUCCACUGUUAACAGGAAGGGAGUCAGUGUGUGAGCACAGCCCACACUGCCCAUACUGCAGCAGCAGGUGUGGGAGGUGUGUCUUGUGGCAGGACACGAGUGUUUCUUUUGUUCCUUUUGUCUUCACUUAGGAGACCAGCUCUCCUACUGGCAGACCCCGUAUGCUAAUGGACUCUUGGAAAUGUAAUGAAUAUGUAUACGAAUUCUGGGUAAAUCAUUGAUUAUGUAUUAGUUCUGCCUAUAUCUGUACCAAGCUUUUGUCCUACAGUGUGCAAGUCAGGAGGAGUGAUCCCCCUUGCACCCAGCACUCGCGCAUCGCUGAAUAAAUGCAUACCUGCUUUAUAACCUAACUCUGGGUUAUAGAGUUUGAUUCCACAAGUCAGAGGUGUCGACUCAAGACCAAAAUACAGCCUGUAUCUUACCAUGGAGGGCAGAACUACCCCUCCUUGUACCUAUUAAACAUCUGUUUUACUCCCCUUGAGGUUAUAAGUUCACAGGACAGCUGGCAGGAGCAACAUCACUCCAGGUUGCUUCAGUGUCCAUGAGGAAACAUCAUGACACCCUGUUGUGCACAGCUGAACUUUUGGGAACUGGCGAGUGUGUAUCAGAACUGCUACUGGUCCUUGAAGAAGAUAUGCCUCAAGAAAGAACAUCAAGUGCUGGCCCAACAGAACCGCAGAAAAGACUGCCAAUAAUUGCCUUUAUUGUCUUAACAUUCUACACUGCGGUGGGUAUUGUACAUGUGUCACAAUGUACAUGGAAAUUGGAAAAUACAAGCCACGAAACUGCAGGAGCUCACCCCCUACCUGCUCAGUCAUUGGUUCAUACUGUGAAGGGGUGGAGUGUAGUGGAAUUUCAAGGUCACAGCCUGAACCAAUACAUGAGCAUGUGACUGCCUGGAGUGGGGGAGGACGGGCUAGCGCUACAUUUUUUGUCUCAGUGAUGCUUCUGGGAGCAUGUGUGCAAUCUGAGCCUGCGUGGGUUCCCCUUCCCCCACCCUUCUCUCUUGUGGCUCGAGUAUGAAUGGGAGAAAGCUGCAUUCCUCAGCUUGCCCCUUUCUCCAGACUGUUACUGGGAGGGGCGUCAUGGUUUUAUGAUUCUUGUUUAUUGGUAUUCCACAUCAUAACAUCAUGUAGUGCACUGGGAGUUAAAGAGUUAAUGCUCCAGUUCUGGGCACCUGUCUGCUAGAGAAGAGCUACAUUGCUGAAGAGCAGAUUGCUGUGGAGACCAGCUUCAGGGCAGUUCUGUCUUGUAGCAUCAUCCAUCACAAAGACCUGUCAAGGCAACAGCCUGGAGGCACUUCACAGCAACCCUCAGGACUCCACACCUCCCUGGGCAGCCUGUUCCAAUCAGCUUUCCUGAGAAAAGAACUCCAAUCAGCUUUGCCAGAACUCUUCAUUAAAAAUAGUGAUUAGGAAGCCUCAAUAUGAGAGUUCAUGACAGGAGGAACAUAUCAUCAGCCAAUUUUUCAGUAAGGCCAAGGAACCAAUUUUGCAACUGCGCGUUCUAUUCAAAAAAUGCCUUAAAUCCCAAAACUUCAGGAUAUUUGCACUCUCAUCCUUUCAAGCUAACAUUUCCUCCUGCGUUGUGGACAUCACAUCUUUUUGGCUGUCUUUGUAUUCCACCCCACCUCUGAAUGCUGGUGGACUGCACAUCCUCACAGUUCAGAAACAAAACCAGUUCACAGCAGUAGCUGUAGGGAAGAAGGCUUAAGGCAUGUUCAUGUAAUGCCUUAAAUGAAAUUCUAAUGAUACCAAGCACAGUAGGUGCAUACAGUCAAGGGUCUUUAAGAGACUCUUCUCCUUCUCUCUAAGAGAAGGCUCUGAAAGAGCCACAAAUGUCUGCGGUAUUCAAAAUGAGCAUGCACCAGGAAUUCACAUCAUUACAUUACAAUGCUUUAUGCCUGAUCAUCUGUUACUUUCCAUGUAACUUUCAACAUUCUCUUUGUUUUCUGACUUCUGCUGAGGAACUGUUUCCAUAGAGCCUGGAAACACCUCCUAAAUGGCAAUAUGUAUAGGCACUAUGUAUAUCAAAUCUAUCAUGGUAUAUAGAAAAUUAGACUGUUAAAAUUAUUGUUUACCAAUUGUACCAGAUUUCAUGCUUAUCAAUGUUAUAUUUCACGUGCCAUUUUAUUGCCUCAUCAAUUCAAUCUCAUUAUAUACUCCUGCAGUUCUUCGCAGCUUUUGUUUUUACC
ensembl:lncRNA